UACGUAGGGUGCGAGCGUUAAUCGGAAUUACUGGGCGUAAAGCGUGCGCAGGCGGUUUUGUAAGCCAGAUGUGAAAUCCCCGGGCUCAACCUGGGAAUGGCAUUUGGGACUGCAAGGCCGGAGUACGGCAGAGGAGACUGGAAUUCCUGGUGUAGCAGUGAAAUGCGUAGAUAUCAGGAGGAAUACCGAUGGCGAAGGCAGGUCUCUGGGCUGAUACUGACGCUCAUGCACGAAAGCGUGGGGAGCAAACAGG
rnacentral:rRNA from 1 species